rnacentral:rRNA from 1 species
GAUCCUGGCUCAGGAUGAACGCUGGCGGCGUGCUUAACACAUGCAAGUCGAGCGAAGCACUCUGCUUUGAUUCUUUCGGGAUGAAGAGCAUUGUGACUGAGCGGCGGACGGGUGAGUAACCGCGUGGGUAACCGUGCCUCAUACAGGGGGAUAACAGUUAGAAAUGGCUGCUAAUACCGCAUAAGACCACAGCACCGCAUGGUGCAGGGGUAAAACUCCGGUGGU